rnacentral:misc_RNA from 1 species
GCACAACAUUUACCAGGAAGAACGGACAACGAAAUCAAGAACUACUGGAGAACUAGAGUGCAGAAACAGGCAAGGCACCUAAAAGUAGAUGCUAAUAGUGCUGCUUUCCAGGAUAUAAUUCGUUGUUUCUGGAUCCCAAGAUUGCUUCAGAAGAUAGAAGGAUCAAAAACUUUAUCUUUAUCAUCAUCGUCAUCAAGAUCAUCUUUCAUGUUAUCCCAGAACCCAACAGUUUCUGAUCAGCCUGU